rnacentral:rRNA from 1 species
AGCAGCCGCGGUAAUUCCAGCUCCAAUAGCGUAUAUUAAAGUUGUUGCAGUUAAAAAGCUCGUAGUUGAAUUUCGGGAUCAAUAUGUUGGUCGUGCCUUGGUACGUACUGGCAUUAUCGAUUCCUACCUUCUGAAGAAUCUCGAUGUCAUUAAUUUGGUGUCUUGGGGAAUCAGGACUGUUACUUUGAAAAAUUAGAGUGUUUAAAGCAGGCUCGCGCUUGAAUACAUUAGCAUGGAAUAAUGAAAUAGGACGUUUGAUUCUAUUUUGUUGGUUUCUAGGAUUGACGUAAUGAUUAAUAGGGAUAGUUGGGGGCAUUAGUAUUCAAUUGUCAGAGGUGAAAUUCUUGGAUUUAUUGAAGACUAACUACUGCGAAAGCAUUUGCCAAGGAUGUUUUCAUUAAUCAAGAACGAAAGUUAGGGGAUCGAAGACGAUCAGAUACCGUCGUAGUCUUAACCAUAAAACUNUGCCGACUAGGGAUCGGAUGAUGUUAAUUUUAAUGU